rnacentral:rRNA from 1 species
UUCCUACGGGAGGCAGCAGUGAGGAAUAUUGGUCAAUGGGCGGGAGCCUGAACCAGCCAAGUCGCGUGAGGGAAGACGGCCCUAUGGAUUGUAAACCUCUUUAGGCGGGGAGCAAUGCCGGGCACGCGUGCCCGGAGGGAGAGUACCCGCAGAAUAAGCAUCGGCUAACUCCGUGCCAGCAGCCGCGGUAAUACGUAGGGGGCAAGCGUUAUCCGGAUUUACUGGGCGUAAAGGGAGCGUAGGCGGGUUAGCAAGUCAGAAGUGAAAGCCCGGGGCUCAACUCCGGGACUGCUUUUGAAACUGUU